rnacentral:rRNA from 1 species
CAAGGCCUGAGGCGCGGUCGACCACCCGCUGAACUUAAGCAUAUCAAUAAGCGGAGGA